rnacentral:rRNA from 1 species
GACAGAGGUGCCAAGCGUUAGGCGGAAUCACUGGGCUUAAAGCGUGUGUAGGCGGAUUGGUAAGUACCUUGUGAAAUCCCACAGCUCAACUGUGGAACUGCUCGGUAUACUGCUUAUCUUGAGCCACUUAGGGGCUGUCGGAACAAACGGUGGAGCGGUGAAAUGCGUAGAUAUCGGAAGGAACGCCGGUGGCGAAAGCGGCACACUGGACCUUGUCUGACGCUGAGGCACGAAAGCCAGGGGAGCAAACGGG